rnacentral:tRNA from 1 species
GUGUAGCUCAGAGGUAGAGUGUGUGCUUAGCAUGCAUGAAAUCCUGGAUUCAAUCCCCAGUAC